UACGUAGGGUGCAAGCGUUGUCCGGAAUUAUUGGGCGUAAAGAGCUCGUAGGCGGCUUGUUGCGUCUGCUGUGAAAGCCCGGGGCUUAACCCCGGGUCGGCAGUGGAUACGGGCAGGCUAGAGGUAGGUAGGGGAGAAUGGAAUUCCCGGUGUAGCGGUGAAAUGCGCAGAUAUCGGGAGGAACACCGGUGGCGAAGGCGGUUCUCUGGGCCUUACCUGACGCUGAGGAGCGAAAGCGUGGGGAGCGAACAGG
rnacentral:rRNA from 1 species